GGCUAACUCCGUGCCAGCAGCCGCGGUAAUACGGAGGAUGCGAGCGUUAUCCGGAUUUAUUGGGUUUAAAGGGUGCGUAGGUGGGCUAUUAAGUCAGUGGUGAAAGUUUGUCGCUCAACGAUAAAAUUGCCGUUGAAACUGGUGGUCUUGAGUAUGGAUGAAGUAGGCGGAAUGCGUGGUGUAGCGGUGAAAUGCAUAGAGAUCACGCAGAACUCCGAUUGCGAAGGCAGCUUACUAAGGCAUAACUGACACUGAAGCACGAAAGCGUGGGUAUCAAACAGGAUUAGAUACCCUGGUAGUCCACGCAGUAAACGAUGAUUACUAGGAGUUUGCGAUAUAGUGUAAGCUCUACAGCGAAAGCGUUAAGUAAUCCACCUGGGGAGUACGCCGGCAACGGUGAAACUCAAAGGAAUUGACGGGGGCCCGCACAAGCGGAGGAACAUGUGGUUUAAUUCGAUGAUACGCGAGGAACCUUACCCGGGAUUGAAAUGUACCUGACGAACUGCGAGAGUGGUUUUCCAGCAAUGGCAGGUAUGUAGGUGCUGCAUGGUUGUCGUCAGCUCGUGCCGUGAGGUGUCGGCUUAAGUGCCAUAACGAGCGCAACCCUGACUGUCAGUUGCUAACAGGUUAAGCUGAGGACUCUGGCGGGACUGCCGGCGUAAGCUGUGAGGAAGGUUGGGAUGACGUCAAAUCAGCACGGCCCUUACAUCCGGGGCGACACACGUGUUACAAUGGCAGGGACAAAGGGCAGCUACCGAGCGAUCGGAUGCAAAUCUCUAAACCCUGUCUCAGUUCGGAUCGGAGUCUGCAACUCGACUCCGUGAAGCUGGAUUCGCUAGUAAUCGCGCAUCAGCCAUGGCGCGGUGAAUACGUUCCCGGGCCUUGUACACACCGCCCGUCAAGCCAUGG
rnacentral:rRNA from 1 species